ACUGUCAUCACAACCCCAAACUUGAACUGUUACUUGUCCUCAAGUGACAUGUCUGUCAAAACAAAACUGUCAGGGAAUUAACAAAUUAAUUUGAAUGAUAAAAAUCUCAUAAACCUUUUUCUCUUCAUCCGGCAAUAGAACCACCGGUCUUAACUUCAGUGAUUCUGCUCAAUCAGCACUCUGAUUUCUAAGACUUCAAUCAGAUUUAGUCCAAUGACCGUUCCACACAAUGUACAAAGUUCAAUCUUAUCUCUCACUCACUAAUUCACUCAAUUUUUGACAGGGUAUUCACUCCAUCAACAUGCAAAUGUUAUUUUACCAUAAGCUUGAAAAAAUUCUAAAUGUCAAUCAAAGNNNNNNNNNNNNNNNNNNNNNNAUACAUCGCACACAUUUUUGAGGUCUUGAGGGUUAUAACUUGGCUUGGGUAAAUGGUGGGAUAAUUUUAGGAAAAGUAGGCUAAAUUGGAGUUAGGUAUCCACUAC
rnacentral:lncRNA from 1 species